CGUACACUCCUGCGGGAGGCAGCAGUGGGGAAUAUUGCACAAUGGGCGCAAGCCUGAUGCAGCCAUGCCGCGUGUAUGAAGAAGGCCUUCGGGUUGUAAAGUACUUUCAGCGGGGAGGAAGGCGAUAAGGUUAAUAACCUUGUUGAGUGACGGUACCCGCAGAAGAAGCACCGGCUAACUCCGUGCCAGCAGCCGCGGUAAUACGGAGUGUGCAAGCGUUAAUCGGAAUUACUGGGCGUAAAGCGCACGCAGGCGGUCUGUCAAGUCGGAUGUGAAAUCCCCGGGCUCAACCUGGGAACUGCAUUCGAAACUGGCAGGCUAGAGUCUUGUAGAGGGGGGUAGAAUUCCAGGUGUAGCGGUGAAAUGCGUAGAGAUCUGGAGGAAUACCGGUGGCGAAGGCGGCCCCCUGGACAAAGACUGACGCUCAGGUGCGAAAGCGUGGGGAGCAAACAGGAUUAGAAACCCGUGUAGUCCUAUG
rnacentral:rRNA from 1 species